AACGCUAUUAUUAGAACAGUUUCUGUACUAUAUUGUGUAUUUCCCUGUGUGCGGGAUGCAUGUUUCUUUGUCCUGUUGCAUAUAUAAAAGGGAGUUAUUAUAGCGUUGCGUUGUGUGCGUCCGUUGUUGGCUUGCAUGAUGUGUAGUGAAUAUAUUUCGCUGCCUCAUCUGCCUUCUUAACGGGUUGUGUUGUACGUGUGUGGGGUUUCUGUGCACUCUUUCGUGCCGCGAUGCGCCCACUCCGUCGUCACUUUAUUGCACCACGCCGCCUGAUAUUAUAUGCGUGUGAAAGUUGCAUUGCCGCUGCUUUUUACACAUUCAACGUGUGUGUUUGUGCUUGCGUGAAGUCGCUUGCCGCAUGUUAUCCAUGCUCUCUCGUGUGUGUACGCCGCGUACGGGGAGGUGUGUGUGUGAAAAUGUGUGCAUUCGUCUGUAUAUUCACGUGGGUUUGUGUUGGUUGUGUAGGGCUUGGCACCUGAUAGAGUGACGCCUUGAGGAAUCUCAGCCUGAAAAGGGUGUAUAAUAAAUUUAUACUGAAAAAUAUGGGGUCAUCAGGAAAUACACUAUAAACGAAGUAGUGUGUUUUGUGUUAUGAAUAUUAUGCGAGAUCGUGUGUACAUAUAUGCGCGUCCCCUGGAGAGGGAAACACCACCCACUCGCAGCCACACAUGUGGUGUGCUGUUUGUGUGUUCCCCACAGCGGAUCACGCGCUUACACUUGAGAUCUGGUUAAUUCUGCCAGUAGUCAUAUGCUUGUUUCAAGGACUUAGCCAUGCAU
rnacentral:precursor_RNA from 1 species